rnacentral:rRNA from 1 species
UAUUGGUCAAUGGACGCAAGUCUGAACCAGCCAUGCCGCGUGCAGGAAGACGGCUCUAUGAGUUGUAAACUGCUUUUGUACGAGGGUAAACGCAGAUACGCGUAUCUGUCUGAAAGUAUCGUACGAAUAAGGAUCGGCUAACUCCGUGCCAGCAGCCGCGGUAGUACGGAGGAUCCGAGCGUUAUCCGGAUUUAUUGGGUUUAAAGGGUGCGUAGGCGGUUUGAUAAGUUAGAGGUGAAAUGUCGGGGCUCAACCCCGAAACUGCCUCUAAUACUGUUGGACUAGAGAAUAGUUGCGGUAGGCGGAAUGUAUGGUGUAGCGGUGAAAUGCUUAGAGAUCAUACAGAACACCGAUUGCGAAGGCAGCUUACCAAACUAUAUCUGACGUUGAGGCACGAAAGCGUGGGUAGCAAACAGG